CUUUUUUAUGGUGUAUACAAACACUUAACAUUUUCAUUGUUAAAAAGCUUAUCCGCUAAAAAA
rnacentral:tRNA from 1 species